UUGGGACGUGGGUUUUCCAAUGGGCA
rnacentral:piRNA from 1 species